UGGGGGAUAUUGCACAAUGGGCGAAAGCCUGAUGCAGCGACGCCGCGUGGGGGAUGAAGGCCUUCGGGUUGUAAACUUCUUUUGCUCUGAACAAGGCGCACCAUGGGGUGUGUUGAGUGUAGGGGUUGAUUAGCGCCGGCUAACUACGUGCCAGCAGCCGCGGUAAUAUGUAGGGCGCGAGCGUUGUCCGGAAUUAUUGGGCGUAAAGGGCUUGUAGGUGGCUGGUUGCGUCUGUCGUGAAAGCUCAUGGCUUAACUGUGGGUUUGCGGUGGGUACGGGCUGGCUUGAGUGCAGUAGGGGAGGCUGGAAUUCCUGGUGUAGCGGUGGAAUGCGCAGAUAUCAGGAGGAAUACCGGUGGCGAAGGCGGGUCUCUGGGCUGUUACUGACACUGAGGAGCGAAAGCAUGGGGAGCGAACAGG
rnacentral:rRNA from 1 species